GCCCAAGUGGCGAAAUUGGCAGACGCGCAGCAAUCAGGGUGCUGUGCCAGCAAUGGCAUGGGGGUUCAAGUCCCUCCUUGGGCA
rnacentral:tRNA from 1 species